rnacentral:rRNA from 1 species
UACGGAGGGUGCGAGCGUUGUCCGGAAUCACUGGGCGUAAAGGGCGCGUAGGCGGCCUGGUAAGUAGGGGGUGAAAUCCUGCGGCUCAACCGCAGGGCUGCCUUCUAAACUGUCAGGCUCGAGCACAGUAGAGGCAGGUGGAAUUCCCGGUGUAGCGGUGGAAUGCGUAGAGAUCCGGAAGAACACCGGUGGCGAAGGCGGCCUGCUGGGCAGUGGCUGACACUGAGGCGCGACAGCGUGGGGAGCAAACAGG